UAUGUUCUUCGUGAACAUGGCGUACUGCUCAGUAACACGUGGAUAACCUGCCCUUGGGACCGGCAUAACCCCGGGAAACUGGGGAUAAUUCCGGAUACCGCAUAUAUGCUGGAAUGCUUUAUGCGUAAAAUGGAUUCGUCUGCCCAAGGAUGGGUCUGCGGCCUAUCAGGUAGUAGUGGGUGUAAUGUACCUACUAGCCAACGACGGGUACGGGUUGUGAGAGCAAGAGCCCGGAGAUGGAUUCUGAGACAUGAAUCCAGGCCCUACGGGGCGCAGCAGGCGCGAAAACUUUACAAUGCGGGAAACCGUGAUAAGGGGACACCGAGUGCCAGCAUCAUAUGCUGGCUGUCCGGGUGUUUAAACUACACCUGUUAGCAAGGGCCGGGCAAGACCGGUGCCAGCCGCCGCGGUAACACCGGCGGCCCGAGUGGUGAUCGUGAUUAUUGGGUCUAAAGGGUCCGUAGCCGGUUUGGUCAGUCCUCCGGGAAAUCUGACGGCUUAACCGUUAGGCUUUCGGGGGAUACUGCCAGGCUUGGAACCGGGAGAGGUAAGAGGUACUACAGGGGGUAGGAGUGAAAUCUUGUAAUCCCUGUGGGGACCACCUGUGGCGAAGGCGUCUUACCAGAACGGGUUCGACGGUGAGGGACGAAAGCUGGGGGCACGAACCGGAUUAGAUACCCGGGUAGUCCCAGCCGUAAACGAUGCUCGCUAGGUGUCAGGCAUGGCGCGACCGUGUCUGGUGCCGCAGGGAAGCUGUGAAGCGAGCCACCUGGGAAGUACGGCCGCAAGGCUGAAACUUAAAGGAAUUGGCGGGGGAGCAC
rnacentral:rRNA from 1 species